AUUGAACGCUGGCGGCAUGCCUUACACAUGCAAGUCGAACGGUAACAGGUCUUCGGAUGCUGACGAGUGGCGAACGGGUGAGUAAUACAUCGGAACGUGCCCGAUCGUGGGGGAUAACGAAGCGAAAGCUUUGCUAAUACCGCAUACGAUCUACGGAUGAAAGCAGGGGACCGCAAGGCCUUGCGCGAACGGAGCGGCCGAUGGCAGAUUAGGUAGUUGGUGGGAUAAAAGCUUACCAAGCCGACGAUCUGUAGCUGGUCUGAGAGGACGACCAGCCACACUGGGACUGAGACACGGCCCAGACUCCUACGGGAGGCAGCAGUGGGGAAUUUUGGACAAUGGGCGAAAGCCUGAUCCAGCCAUGCCGCGUGCAGGAUGAAGGCCUUCGGGUUGUAAACUGCUUCUGUACGGAACGAAAAGACUCUGGUUAAUACCUGGGGUCCAUGACGGUACCGUAAGAAUAAGCACCGGCUAACUACGUG
rnacentral:rRNA from 1 species